AAUAAGUUGACAGAUUAAUGUAAAUGAUUUAGGAUCAUUAAAUGAGCACUUACUCACUUAUUU
rnacentral:tRNA from 1 species